ACUGUAGGUAGAGGUAGAGAGAUAUACUGUAGGUAGAGAGAGAGAGAUACUGUAGGUAGAGGUAGAGAGAGAGAGAUAUACUGUAGGUAGAGGUAGAGAGAUAUACUGUAGGUAGAGGUAGAGAGAUAUACUGUAGGUAGAGGUAGAGAGAGAGAUAGAUACUGUAGGUAGAGGUAGAGAGAGAGAGAGAUACUGUAGGUAGAGGUAGAGAGAUAUACUGUAGGUAGAGGUAGAAAGAG